GAUGAACGCUGGCGGCGUGCCUAAUACAUGCCAGUCGAGCGAACGGACGAGAAGCUUGCUUUUCUGAUGUUAGCGGCGGACGGGUGAGUAACACGUGGAUAACCUACCUAUAAGACUGGGAUAACUUCGGGAAACCGGAGCUAAUACCGGAUAAUAUUUUGAACCGCAUGGUUCAAAAGUGAAAGACGGUCUUGCUGUCACUUAUAGAUGGAUCCGCGCUGCAUUAGCUAGUUGGUAAGGUAACGGCUUACCAAGGCAACGAUGCAUAGCCGACGUGAGAGGGGGAUCGGCCACACUGGAACGGAGACACGGUCCAUACUCCUACGAGAGGCAGCAGUAGGGAAUCUUCCGCAAUGGGCGAAAACCUUACGGAGCAACGCCGCGUGAGUGAUGAAGGUCUUCGGAUCGUAAAACUCUGUUAUUAGGGAAGAACAUAUGUGUAAGUAACUGUGCACAUCUUGACGGUACCUAAUCAGAAAGCCACGGCUAACUACGUG
rnacentral:rRNA from 1 species